CACUGGAUGUUGAGGCUGCAGUGUGCCAUGAUGGUGCCACUGCAUUCUAGCUUGGGCAACAGAGUGAGACCCUGUCUCAGGAAAAAAAAAAUACCGUAAUAGAUAUGAACAAAACUUUAUUGGACUACAGAAAAUGGAACAAAUACAUCUACUUCCAGGUUAAAAGGAGCCCAAGCCCCAUCUCAUUCUAGCACACCCUACUCCACCACUGUCCUGGCAGCAGCAGUCCCUGCACUAGAUCCGACAGUCCCGUUUGGGGUACAGGAAACAAAGCAGGAGGGGUUUGAGGUCCCUACACUGCAGCAGAAGAAGAGGAAGGAGUGGGGCCUGAAUUGACCAUAAAGGAUGUAAGGGCCACGUUGUUCCACUGUAAUGUCAAGGAGGGGGCGGCCAUUGUUUGUCCCAGCCUGGGGCUCCCUCUCUGAUUUCCUAUUUGUAGUUACUAGAAUUAAAAAAAAAACAACCAUAUUUUCCGGGAUAGAUAAAUAAAUAAAUAAUCCACUGGCAGAAAUCA